GACGAACGCUGGCGGCGUGCCUAAUACAUGCAAGUUGAGCGCUGAAGGUUGGUACUUGUACCAACUGGAUGAGCAGCGAACGGGUGAGUAACGCGUGGGGAAUCUGCCUUUGAGCGGGGGACAACAUUUGGAAACGAAUGCUAAUACCGCAUAAAAACUUUAAACACAAGUUUUAAGUUUGAAAGAUUCAAUUGCAUCACUCAAAGAUGAUCCCGCGUUGUAUUAGCUAGUUGGUGAGGUAAAGGCUCACCAAGGCGAUGAUACAUAGCCGACCUGAGAGGGUGAUCGGCCACAUUGGGACUGAGACACGGCCCAAACUCCUACGGGAGGCAGCAGUAGGGAAUCUUCGGCAAUGGACGAAAGUCUGACCGAGCAACGCCGCGUGAGUGAAGAAGGUUUUCGGAUCGUAAAACUCUGUUGGUAGAGAAGAACGUUGGUGAGAGUGGAAAGCUCAUCAAGUGACGGUAACUACCCAGAAGGGGACGGCUAACUACGUG
rnacentral:rRNA from 1 species